rnacentral:rRNA from 1 species
GUACGGCGAGUGAAGCGGCAAAAGCUCAAAUUUGAAAUCUGGUACCUUCGGUGCCCGAGUUGUAAUUUGGAGAGGGCAACUUUGGGGCCGUUCCUUGUCUAUGUUCCUUGGAACAGGACGUCAUAGAGGGUGAGAAUCCCGUGUGGCGAGGAGUGCGGUUCUUUGUAAAGUGCCUUCGAAGAGUCGAGUUGUUUGGGAAUGCAGCUCUAAGUGGGUGGUAAAUUCCAUCUAAAGCUAAAUAUUGGCGAGAGACCGAUAGCGAACAAGUACAGUGAUGGAAAGAUGAAAAGAACUUUGAAAAGAGAGUGAAAAAGUACGUGAAAUUGUUGAAAGGGAAGGGCAUUUGAUCAGACAUGGUGUUUUGUGCCCUCUGCUCCUUGUGGGUAGGGGAAUCUCGCAUUUCACUGGGCCAGCAUCAGUUUUGGUGGCAGGAUAAAUCCAUAGGAAUGUAGCUUGCCUCGGUAAGUAUUAUAGCCUGUGGGAAUACUGCCAGCUGGGACUGAGGACUGCGACGUAAGUCAAGGAUGCUGGCAUAAUGGUUAUAUGCCGCCCGUCUUGAAACACGGAC